ACGGAAUCAUCCGCUUCCCUCGGGCCUCGGCAGUUCCGCUCCGCCCGUCUCUCUCGUUCCCCUUCCUUUCUCCUCUCUCCCCUCCCCAAAAUCAGCUGAUAGAUCCUCAAAUUAGGCCAAUGAGAAGAGCAGAUCAGGUCGGGACGCCGCGGAUCUGAGCAGAUCGGGUCCUUCCCGGCACUCGUGUUGCUUGUGCCGCUCGCGCUCAGUGCUCGUGCAGGCUGCGCACACGGUGCGGAUGGCCAGAUCCGCGAGUUCGCAGAUGGCGUGGAUGGCCGGAUUCGCAAGUUCGGCUACCCCGUGGCCUAGGAGAUGUGCGUGGAGGUCCUGCUCGAGGAGGCCGUACACAUGGGACUGCAGGGCUGCGGAAUGGCAUCGAGUAUGUGUACGAGACGGCGGCCGAGGAGGUGCGGCCCGACGGGCUGCUCGAGAAGGUGAUGGUCCUCAUGCUCAAGCACCAGGCACACACGGAUGAAGAUGUCGUCGGCGCCGAGGGAAGAUGAUGGCACAUCAGGCAUGACAUGUACAUCAAGAUCAAUAUCUUGGAGCCAACACCCAAAUGCAAAAGGGACAAAGCAGUACAGAGCCAACAUCCAUUGAAGGUAAGAUCAAUUAGAUAAUAGCAUUACAACAACCACAUGAUAGCAUACACCCACUAUCUUAGUGUACAUUACAAUAAUUAGAUAAUAGCAUUACAACAACCACAUGCAUGAUAGCUCUACCAUUCAACCUAAACAUCUCUACCAUUAAUUUCAUCAGAUAAGAAGUUCAACAUCUUGACAUGGUGUGCUUUCUUUGCCUUUCUGUAUGAUGAGGUGUCAAUCAUCAUAAGUUCUUUGAACUGCUUCAUUUUUUCCAUCUUCACCUUCUCUUUAUCUGCAGCAGCCAUAGUUGCUAGGGCUUGAUCAUGUCCCCUUGCAGCAGCAGCAGCCAUGUUUUCUAUUACCUCUGAUUUUCUUGCCUGCAGGUUAUUAAAUUAUCCCACAUUGUCAUCUGAUAAGCGAUCCUUCCCAUAAGUUGUUGAAGAAGUGUAAGCUUCUGAUGCUGACAUCUUAUUUCUUCCUUCUGCCCUUGUGGUCGACGACGGUCAGUGUCACAUGCCUCUCAGUUUCUUGGUUUGAAGAAGUGUAAGCUUCUGAUGCUGACAUCUUAUUUCUCUUAUUCCUAAUGACAGCAGCCACAUCUCGAUUAAGCCAUUUAGGCUCAUCCUUCACCUCUCUCCACCAAUACUCAAAUGGGAAAGGCUUUUCUGUUUGCUUCACCUUUUUUAUUCUUCAUGAACCAUCUCCAUAAGUUGUUGAUCUGACCGCCCACUUUGAUAUGUGUUUGAUAUUUCUGUCCAACAUCCCUAAAAUUUUGAAACAACUGCACUGGUUACAUUCCAAUGAUUUUUGCACUGUGUAGCUGUCCUCUUCUUUCCUUUAGGAGCAUACAUGUUGUAUUCAUCUGCAACUUGCUUCCAGUAAUGUGACCCAUUCUUUGAAUUGCCAUCAAUUGGAUUAUUUGAGUUGUUUAACCAAGCACUUAUCAGCUGCAGAUUGUCUUCUUCGGUCCAAAACAUACGCCCACCUAUCUUUUCCUCAUCUGAACCAGCAUCACCCCAUUCUUCAACUCUAAUUGGAUCUUUGUUUGUAUUUUUCUGCGGGAGCUAAUGGAGAAGUCACUGAAGAAGCUGAAGCCUCACCUCUUGAACCACCAACUGCAAAAGUAGCUGCUGAACCUGCUGGUGAUGAUGGAUUGCCAGCCAUAUCACCCAUGGAAAUUGCCAUGGAAAGGAAUGCUAUGGUGAUAGUUUGAAGGAGGGAACUUCUGGUAACCUGGUUGGGUUCCAAAAGGAUUGAAAUCCUGUGGGUAGUAGUGAGGUGGAAAGGAUCUGGGAUCAUAUUGAUGUGGUGGAAAAAAUAUAGGUAGAUGGGGUUGGAAACUAUAUUGUUGUGUGUUUGUGUUUUGAGGAUUUGAGCUUGGGAUUGAGGAAUUUACCAGGUUUGUGAAACUAGAUGAGGAAGAGUGCUCCAUUGUAGCUAUGUGUAAGUUUGAAUAUUUGCAUGUGUGAACUUCAUGUAUGUAUAUAGAUGGAGGCAAGUAAGCUGACAGUGGCAACGGCUCCGUGGCCAACGGCCAUAUGCACUGUCAUUAUUUUA